AGGGUUCGAUCAUGGCUCAGGACGAACGCUGGCGGCGUGCCUAACACAUGCAAGUCGAGCGGAGCCAUCCGGACAAUCCCUUCGGGGUGCGUUUGGGGAAGCUUAGCGGCGGACGGGUGAGUAACGCGUGAGUAACCUGCCCAUAAGAGGGGGAUAACACAGAGAAAUUUGUGCUAAUACCGCAUAUUGAUAUCGAGCGGCAUCGUUUGAUAUUGAAAGAUUUAUCGCUUAUGGAUGGACUCGCGUCUGAUUAGAUAGUUGGCAGGGUAACGGCCUACCAAGUCGACGAUCAGUAGCCGAACUGAGAGGUUGAUCGGCCACAUUGGGACUGAGACACGGCCCAG
rnacentral:rRNA from 1 species